UAUAGAGUUUUCAAACUCCCAAACCCAUGUGAACUUACCUAUGUUGCCUCGGUGGGAGCCUACCCUGUACCUACCCUGUAACGGGUUACCCGGGAGCGGCCCCACCGGUGGACUUUUUAACUCUUGUUAUUUUAUGUAAUCUGAGAGUCUUAUUUUAAAUAAGUCAAAACUUUCAACAACGGAUCUCUUGGUUCUGGCAUCGAUGAAGAACGCAGCGAAAUGCGAUAAGUAAUGUGAAUUGCAGAAUUCAGUGAAUCAUCGAAUCUUUGAACGCACAUUGCGCCCAUUAGUAUUCUAGUGGGCAUGCCUGUUCGAGCGUCAUUUCAACCCUUAAGCCUAGCUUAGUGUUGGGAGUCUACAUGAAGGCCUUGGCCCUACUGUAGUUCCUGAAAAUCAACGGCGGAUCUAUAAUAUCCUCUGAGCGUAGUAAUUCUUUAUCUCGCUUUUGUUAGGUGUUAUAGCCCUUGCCGCUAAACCCCCCAAUUUUUAAUGGUUGACCUCGGAUCAGGUAGGAAUACCCGCUGAACUUAAGCAUAUCAAUAA
rnacentral:misc_RNA from 1 species